GGAUCAGGUAGGAAUACCCGCUGAACUUAAGCAUAUCAAUA
rnacentral:rRNA from 2 species